UGGCUCAGGACGAACGCUGGCGGCGUGCCGUAACACAUGCAAGUCGAACGGAGUUGACCUUCGGGGUCAACGUUAGUGGCGAACGGGUGAGUAACGCGUGAGAAACCUGCCUUUCAGUGGGGGACAACAGUUGGAAACGACUGCUAAUACCGCAUAAUGUAUUUGGGGCAUCCCUGAAUAACCAAAGAUUUAUUGCUGAAAGAUGGUCUCGCGUCUGAUUAGCUAGUUGGUGAGGUAACGGCUCACCAAGGCGACGAUCAGUAGCCGGUCUGAGAGGAUGAACGGCCACAUUGGGACUGAGAUACGGCCCAGACUCCUACGGGAGGCAGCAGUGGGGAAUAUUGGGCAAUGGGGGAAACCCUGACCCAGCAACGCCGCGUGAAGGAAGAAGGCCUUCGGGUUGUAAACUUCUUUUACCAGGGACGAAGAACGUGACGGUACCUGGAGAAAAAGCAACGGCUAACUACGUG
rnacentral:rRNA from 1 species